CCCUUUCUUCUUCUUUUUUUUUAUUUUUUUUUAUUUUUCUAUAUUAAAACAAAACAAACAAAAAAAAAAACAAGAUAUAAAGUCCUAGAUCUAACUACCUUUCGUAAUGGAUUUGUUUGGUAUGGUAUUCUGGACGUGUUGGAUUUUUCACUGUUGCGGUUUCGAAAAAUGGGUUGUAUGGCUGGAUUUGGUUUAUGGUGAAUCGGUUACGAUGUUUGGUGAUUGCUGGUGUUGGGUUUUGGAAAUAUGGUGGUGAUGCGUUUUGAAAAGCUGAUGUUGUUGUUUCCUGGAUUCUUCUCAUGCGGGGGUGGAAUCGAAAAUUGGUUGUUGAUAAUUUUGAUUGCAGGUUAUGGUUGAUUGAAGUUGGAUUUUUUUGAUUGAAAUUAUGUGAUGAUAAUUCGAUGAUGGUGUAUGACGAGGGUUUGAGAAGUUUUGAUGAUUUGUGAUUACUGGUUUUCUUUUACCUUUUCAUGUUGUGGAAAUUAUCCCCCUUUUAAAGAAUCAGAGGUUGAUGAAAUAGAAAACAGAUUAAUGAGUUUUGAAUUGGAAUUAAGUGAAUUGAAUGGCUUGAAUGGAGCAUGAUGGUGUGGUACGCGUUUGGUGUUGAGAAAAGAAAGAAGAAAAAAAUUAUGACUUUGAGCUUGAAGCAUGUAAUUGAGGCGCAUGAAAAAUAUUUUUGGACCCUUGCUGAAAAUUUUCGGACUCAUUGAUAUUAUUGGACAAGAACAGAAAAUAACAAUUAUUAAAUAUAAAAAUAGUAACUAACUUUAA
rnacentral:lncRNA from 1 species